rnacentral:lncRNA from 1 species
CUCUUCCUUCAAUUGGGUCGUUUCCCUGUCACUCAAGAGAGGCCGGGCCCAGCAGCCGGGGAAAACGCCGGCGGUCCCCGCCCCCUAGCGGAGGCCUGUUAAAGAAACAGGCCGCAUUUCCCCCUGCGGGCUGUGGGGUCUGGAGGAACCGGAUCUCUCAGCAAAUGCAAGAGGCAGCAUAUUUUUUUUUUUUUUUAACUUUUCUCUUGGCACAGCCCUGGAGCGAAGGAAAAGACUUUGGUUCCUUGUGACAAAGUAGACGUCUUGAGGGCUAAGCUGUCCUCUGGUGGCACUCAACCGUGUGCCCAGCGAGCAUGUAACUUACACUCAACAAUGGGGAUAACUGAGUGGGAGGUGACAGUCGUGUCAGAGGCUGUGAGCAGCCGUGGCUGCUCACCACCGAGAUGAAGCUAAUUAUACCGGCACCCAGGGCUGACCGUGGGCGCCGAGCAGAGGCAGAGGGGUACAGCUGAGCUGUACUGUUGGUAGAGACCCGUGGGAGGAGGUAUUCGUCACUGCACCUGCGGAUCGGAACGAGGCCGGGCACCGCGCCAAGGCCUCGCUCCUGCUAUCUCCCUUUAUACUCACAGGAAUCCUGAUGGAGGUAUUAUGCGGAUCACCUUGUUACAGAUGAGGAAGCUGAUGUUCUGAGAGGGCCAAAGAUCAUACAGCUAGUGAUGGGCAGAGCAAGACGCCAGCCUGUGCCUGUUUGAGUCCAAAGGUUAUCCUUUAACUGUUUCGUCUCACAGAUCCCUACAAGUCCCAGGCGUCACGUGGCUGCCCAGCCAAGCUUCACUUCCCAGCCCCGCUUGCCGUUAAGAUCUGCCAGAAAAAAGAGAGAGAGAGAGAAACAAUAAGGAAAAAACUACCUCAUCUUCUCAUCACCAAACCCACCAGUCUGCCUGCGUCAGCACCCAAAUGCUCCGCCUUUCCUCCUGUGACCACAAAUGCACCUUCUCUGAUCCUCUGUAAGGCAAUCCUG